UCGACGAAACAGGGGUGCUUUGCCCACAGGCUGCGUGAUUCUCACGCAACGGCGGCAAGGCUGAGAGAGACCCUUUGCACCCGAUCCGGGUAAUACCGGCGCGGGAAGUUUCCGGAAGCAGCCA
rfam:Burkholderia sp. OLGA172 chromosome 1, complete sequence.